CUGAUGUUAGCGGCGGACGGGUGAGUAACACGUGGAUAACCUACCUAUAAGACUGGGAUAACUUCGGGAAACCGGAGCUAAUACCGGAUAAUAUUUUGAACCGCAUGGUUCAAAAGUGAAAGACGGUCUUGCUGUCACUUAUAGAUGGAUCCGCGCUGCAUUAGCUAGUUGGUAAGGUAACGGCUUACCAAGGCAACGAUGCAUAGCCGACCUGAGAGGGUGAUCGGCCACACUGGAACUGAGACACGGUCCAGACUCCUACGGGAGGCAGCAGUAGGGAAUCUUCCGCAAUGGGCGAAAGCCUGACGGAGCAACGCCGCGUGAGUGAUGAAGGUCUUCGGAUCGUAAAACUCUGUUAUUAGGGAAGAACAUAUGUGUAAGUAACUGUGCACAUCUUGACGGUACCUAAUCAGAAAGCCACGGCUAACUACGUGCCAGCAGCCGCGGUAAUACGUAGGUGGCAAGCGUUAUCCGGAAUUAUUGGGCGUAAAGCGCGCGUAGGCGGUUUUUUAAGUCUGAUGUGAAAGCCCACGGCUCAACCGUGGAGGGUCAUUGGAAACUGGAAAACUUGAGUGCAGAAGAGGAAAGUGGAAUUCCAUGUGUAGCGGUGAAAUGCGCAGAGAUAUGGAGGAACACCAGUGGCGAAGGCGACUUUCUGGUCUGUAACUGACGCUGAUGUGCGAAAGCGUGGGGAUCAAACAGGAUUAGAUACCCUGGUAGUCCACGCCGUAAACGAUGAGUGCUAAGUGUUAGGGGGUUUCCGCCCCUUAGUGCUGCAGCUAACGCAUUAAGCACUCCGCCUGGGGAGUACGACCGCAAGGUUGAAACUCAAAGGAAUUGACGGGGACCCGCACAAGCGGUGGAGCAUGUGGUUUAAUUCGAAGCAACGCGAAGAACCUUACCAAAUCUUGACAUCCUUUGACAACUCUAGAGAUAGAGCUUUCCCCUUCGGGGGACAAAGUGACAGGUGGUGCAUGGUUGUCGUCAGCUCGUGUCGUGAGAUGUUGGGUUAAGUCCCGCAACGAGCGCAACCCUUAAGCUUAGUUGCCAUCAUUAAGUUGGGCACUCUAAGUUGACUGCCGGUGACAAACCGGAGGAAGGUGGGGAUGACGUCAAAUCAUCAUGCCCCUUAUGAUUUGGGCUACACACGUGCUACAAUGGACAAUACAAAGGGCAGCGAAACCG
rnacentral:rRNA from 1 species